rnacentral:lncRNA from 1 species
CGUAGGAAUGUGCCUUCAACUUCUUGCUAUGGUGAAAGUGAAGUAUCGGACAAGAAACACAACUAUUCGAAUGAGAAACUCAGGCUAUCAGACGAGGAACCCGAACUAUCCGACAAGAAGCAGUUUCCUGUACCAUACACCACUGUUCGAUUGGUCAAGAUAGAGAGGUUUUAGUGGAAUUCAGCCCUUGAUGGACAUAUCGUCUGUGUUUGCCCUGUCCUGUGUGGACAGAGAGCUCUUCCACACCUCGUGCAAAUAUCAGAAUCCGCGAGGUAGGCGACGAAUUUAUUCAGGUUUAAAACGACAGGAAGACAGUGUUUUACAUUGUUGAAAGACAAAGAAAAGGAAUCGAUUCCAGAACCUGUGUUUGUUGUUUUCGACAGUUGAGGGGAGAGUUCGGUGCAUGCCAGAUACUAUCUAUUGAUUUCAAACACUCUAGUGAGAAAUAUAUGCAGAAGAAAGAACCAAGUGAUAAAUCCACGACAGACCUGGCACAAGCAUAUAGCAUGACACCACUACAGCCGUCAUGACAAAAGCGUAGUUAAACAAAUUAGACAUAAGCUAACAUGUAUAUAACUAUACCCCAACGUACAAAGUAAAUUGGGCUAUGUUGGAGUCACGCAUGUCCAGUCCAUCCGUCCGUCCGUUCAUUUGUCCACCAUGGCCUCUCGGAUGAUUUUCAUAAAACUGAAAUAAAUUAUAAACCACAUCAAGACGAUGUACAGAGCGCUCAACCUAGGUCACAAGGCCCAAGGUCAAGGUUACUCAUGGAGGUCAAAGGUCAAAUAGCUUAGCUUCAUGUCCGCUCUAUAUUGUCUAAACGGCUUUGAAAAUAUUUAGCUCGACUGUUUGAAGAAUAAGGAGGAUUACUGUACUUUCCUUGGCGUCUGUGGCACUGUUACCGUUGCAUUGAAAGUUAAAAUUUUAGGACAAGCUUCUCAGUGUCACUAUAUCUUCUUACUACUGUCCAUAUUAACAUCAAACUUAACAUUAGUGUUGGUAUUGGUAAGGGAAAGACAUCUACAUGUAUUAGUUUAGGAACAAGUAUCCUAAAUGUCGAAGUCACUGGCUUAAAUAUUGUGAUAGUGCUGGUUAAAGUUUCAUAAUAAGCUUCUCAGUUUUACAAUAUAACCUCACAUAAGGAUUGAUCUUGGAACUGGCAGAAAUCUUUUUGUUUAGGGUCAAGUUGCUCAAAGGUCAAGAUUACUGGGGUCAGAUUUUGUAACAGUGUUGGUUAAAGUCUUUUGGCACAUUUCUCAAUUUGACUUAUAUCUCAUAACGUUUCUUAGAGCUGGUAUCCCUCAUGUCCUAUCCUUUUUAGCUAUACCCACACUUCAUCUACGUUCCUCCCGACACCCACCUAAAAAUGCGUUCCAUACAAAAACUUAUAGUUCAUGUUUCCAUCAACUCCCCUACUCCGCUGUCUUCACCUGCCUCCUCCACCCCAUUUCACCGAACCUUUACCCUCGUCCCUAACCCCCGCCCCCUCCAUAAAAAUGAUAAACCCCCCCCCUCCUUUUCGAUCUCCCACACUUACUUAUAAUAAUAACAAUAUCUUGUUAUACAUUUUCUUUAUAGUCGAGCAGACACAAUUAACUCAGAUCACUAGGUCCACGGUCAAGGUCACACCUAAAAAUCAAAAGUCAAGAUGACAACAUUUUACUUUCCAUUAUCCAAGUGAUGUCUGGGGGUAUUAAUCGACUUCAGUGAUAGCCUUAGUUGAUCAGGUGUUAGUGGCAUAAAUGUGUAACAUUUGCUUUAUUGGGGGGAUAGGAAUGGUCUCCGUCCGUCCGUCCGUCUGUCCGUCCGUCUGCCCGUCCGUAACACUUUCGUGUCCAGGCCAUAUCUCCUAAACCCCUUGAAGG